GGGGCUCUGGAGGAAGGUGACCGUAGAUCCAGAUGUACAAUCUCCAGCAGGGACACAGCCAUCCUGAAAGCCCCCGGGUAUUCCCUCAUUCUCCCUCAGAGCAGUGGGAAGAGCACUGGAAAGGCAGCGAAACCCAGGGCGCCGAGUUCAGGAAUGUUUGUACUGGUCCCUUGCUUUCAUCCCUGUCACUAUCGGACUCAUUUCCAGUGCCCAGGUAUCCAUUCACACCAUGUAAACUGCUGUUUCAAGUUCUCUCAUUCAGGUACCCCCAUUUUUACCGUCAAUGGCUUUUUCCCCGUAAAGAAGCUAAGUUUGGCUUGACAUCUCUACAGGGCUCCUCUUCAUAGGCAACCAGGAGCUGAGAAGACCUCAUUCAUGCUGAGAUAGUCCUGUCUUCAAGAGAAAGAGGAAAGAAUAAAUAGAAUUGUAUGCAAUUCUGAGGAAAAUAGGGAGAAGAGAUCUUGCUGACCCACCCCUUCUCUUUCUUUCUGACCUGAAUGUGGAUAUGUGGUUUGCUUCUGUGGCUGCAAUCAGGUGACAUGAGGCACCAACCAUUGGACCAAGAAGACAACAGCCAAAGACAGAAGAGCAGAAAAAUAAAAGGAAAAGGCCUGUGUUUUGAUAACAUCAAUGAGCAGCAGUACCAGUGCCAAUAGUCACCUGUCUCCAGCCUUCUUGUGAAUGAGAUACUACAGAUAUGAAGAAGUUAAAGAUUUGAGAUGAGAAGACAAUUCUGGAUUAUCUGUGAGUCAAAUAUAAUCACAAGAGUACUUAUAAGAAGAAAACAGGAGAGACAGAGCCUGAGAAGGAAGUGUAACUACUUAAAGAGUCAGAGAGAGAUUUGAAGAUGCUACUGGUUUAAAGAUGGAGGAAGAGGCCAUAUCUAAGUAAUGCAGGUGGCUUCUAGAAGCUGAAAAAGACAAGGAAACAGAUACUCCCUUAGAACCUCCAGAAGGAACAGAGCCCUGCCAACACCUUAAUUUUAUCAUAGAAAACUCAUUUCAGACUUUUAACUCCAGAAUUGAAAAGUACUAAAUUUGUAGACUUAGGGUUGUCUAAGGCAGGAGGAAGGAGAUUGUGAUUUAGAUAAAAAGGGGAUAGUAAGUAAGAAUUCACAAAUGGUGGAAAUGGUAUAGGGUGAGUAAGUGGUAGGGAUUCAAAGACAAACUUCACUCACUUCACAGUUUUACCUGGAGUAUUAGACCCUUGGCCAAUGUGGACAUUUCAGCUGGAGGCAUCAAAGCAACAAAACUGUUGCAAAAUUUGCUAGCAACAAUGAGGGGUGGCUGAACCUUUCAUGGAAACAUUUAUUUUCACAGAUUCUCAUUUGUCUCAAACCAAUUUAAAAGAAGUUGGCUCAUGACUUGAACCACGUGUAAUAAACAUACUGUUCUGAUUGGCUUGCCACUAGUGGGAGUUCAUUUCACACUAAAACUCAAUAUGCACUUGGACACAACCAUUGUCUCUAGUCAUGCUCUUUCAGUAAUGUUCCUGACUGUCU
rnacentral:lncRNA from 10 species